AUGACUCAUAUUGGCUCGGACCACAUUCCUCUGCUUCUAUCUUCUCAGGAUGAAUGCCCUCCCGCUGCUCCUAGAUUCCGCUUUGAGAUGUUCUGGCUUAACCAGAACGGUUUCGCCGAGGCCGUGCACGGCCGCUGGCUAGAGGCCCGUCUCCCCCCCACCCCACCCCCACAGGCCGUGGACGAUUGGCAUUUCUGUACCAAACGCUCCCGCUAGUUCAUGAAGGGAUGGGCAAACCUUGGGCGGGACCUUCGGGACCGCAAGAAGGCCCUUCUUGCCACCAUCCAGGCCUUGGACUUUUAGGCUGACUCGAUGGGUCUUUCUCCUGAUGAGUGGAUGCAGUGUUACGACCUUGAGGACCAGAUUAUGGUUAUCUACACCGACAAGGAGGCUUAUUGGCACCUUCGGGGAACCUAAAAGUGGGUCCUCAAGGGAGACCCGAACACCGCCUACUUCCAGGAGAUCGCCAAUGGUCGUCGGCGGUGUAAUUCCAUCCCCCUUCCGUGGGAUGAAGAGACCCUCCUGCAGCGCCCGGACCACAUCCGCACUCACAAUGACGGCCUUUAUAAAGCCCUAUUUUCUGCCCCCCUAGGAGGCAUGGCACUUGCGCCCCACUUCUGGGUCGGCUCGCAGUGCAUCUCGAACACGGGCAAUGCGGCCCUCACGGCCCCGUUCACUGAGGAUGAAGUGUGGCUCGCGAUUAAAGGAAUGAAUCCUUCGUCUGCCCAGGGCCAUGACAGUUUGUCGAUUAAGUUCUUUCAGACUUUCUGGAAUGCCAUCAAGCAGGAGGUCAUGGCCCUCUUUGAGGAGUUUUAUGUAGGCUCCAUCGACCUCCAGUGCCUCAACUACAGGAUUAUCACUCUAAUCCCCAAGGUCCCGGGCUCCUCAGACAUCCGCCAGUUUCGCCCUAUCACGGUGAUCAAUGUGAUCUUCCACAUUCUUGCGAAGGGGUACGCUAGUAGGGUGGCCCCUUUAGCUGACCGCAUCACCCACCCGGACCAAUCCACCUUCAAUCAGGGCCAAUAUAUCUUGGAUGGGGUCCUGGUCUUUCACGAAGUCCUGCACGAGGUCCGAACCAAAAACCUCAAAGCAGUAUUCUUGAAGAUUGACUUCCAUAAGGCUUACGACAUGGUUAGCUGGACCUUCCUUAGGGAAGUGUUGCUCAAAAAAGGUUUGGCGAUCGAUGGGUAUCCCGGGUCAUGCAGAUGGUGUCGUCUGGUGCUACCUCUUUUAGCACUGCAUUGGUUUCCCCCGAAGAGGAAGGGAUGA
rnacentral:rRNA from 1 species